rnacentral:lncRNA from 1 species
UUUUUUUUUUUUUUCAAUGUGUUUUUAUUGUGGCAAAAUAUAUUCAUAACAUAAAACUUCGCAUCUUAAUUAUGUUUAAGCAUACAUUUCAGUGGCACGAAGGAAAUUCAUGUUGCUGUGCAACCAUCACCACUAGCUGUCUCAAAAACUCUUUGCAUCUGGCAAAACUGAAACUCUAUACCCGCUAAACAGUAACUGCCCAUCCUCUUUUCCUGCUCCACCCCACCUCUUGGAAAACCACUAUUCCACUUUCUAUCUCUAUGAGCUCGACUGUGCUAAGUCCAUCGCUCUUGCCAGGGGAACUGAACAGUAUUUGCUGUUUUGUGACUGGCUUCCUCACUCCGCAAAAUGUCUGCAAGAUUUACCCAUGUUGUGGUGUAUGUCAGAAUUUCCCAUUGUGGCUCAGCAAUAACCAACCUGACUAGUAUCCAUGAGGACGCGGGUUCCAUCUCCAGCCUCAUUCAGUGGGUUAAGGAUCCCAAGUGGCCGUGAGCUGCAGUGUAGGUCACAGACACGGCUUGGAUCUGGCAUUGCGGUGGCUGGAGUACAGGCCAGCAGCUGCAGCUCUGAUUCCAUCUCUAGGCUGGGAACUUCCACGGGUGGCAGGUGCAACCCUAAAGAUACAAAAAAAAAAAAAUUUCCUUCUUUUUGGGGUUUUGGCCUCGCCCAUGGCAUGUGGAUAUUCCUGGGCCAGGGAUCGAACCCACACUGCAAUUGCAAUAAUGCGGGAUUCUUAACCCGCAUUAAGAAUAAUGCACCACAAGGGAACUGAGUCAUAUGCCACUGGAUGUGUGCACCACAGUUUGCUUAUGCUUUCAUCCACUGAGGGACACUCGGGUUGCUUGCACAGUAGAGCUACUGUGACUAAUGCUGCUGUGAACACAGACGCACAAAUAUCUCUUCUGUUUUCAGAUCUUUAGGGUAUAUGCUCAGAAGCGGAAUUGCUGGCUUAGAUGAUGGUAAUUCUAUUUCUAAUACACGGUUUUUACAGCCCCCCCCAUGUCUUACCUUCCCACCAAUAGGGCACAAGGAUUCCAAUUUCUCCACAUCCUCACUUCCGCUUGUCAUUUUCUGUAAUAAAAAGCAUUGUCAACAAAGACGAUGUAUACAACAGGAAAAUAGGUGAAAAUAUUGUGGGGUUUGGUAGCAGCCAUUUUAACGGGGGCGAAGUGGUGUCUUGUGGUUUUGAUUUGCUUUUCCCUGAUGACGAGUGAUGUUGAGCAUAUUUUCAUGUCUUCUGUGAAGACCUUUGAAUUGAAGACAAUUUGUACGUCUUUUGUGAAGAAAUGUCUAUUCCAGUCCUUUGUCCAUCUUGGAAUCAAAUUGUUUUGGAGGGUUU